AUUGAACGCUGGCGGCAGGCCUAACACAUGCAAGUCGAACGAGUGGCGGACGGGUGAGUAAUGUCAGGGAAACUGCAUGAGGGAGGGGGAUAAGUACUGGAAACGGUAGCUAAUACCGCAUACCAUAAGAUGUGCCAACAUUGGAGUAGCUAGUUGGUGGGGGAACGGCUCACCCAGGCGACGAUCCGUAGCUGGUCUGAGAGGAUGACCGGCCACACUGGAACUGAGUCACAGUCCAGACUCCUACGGGAGGGAGCAGUGGGGAAUAUUGCACAAUGUGCGCAAGCCUUAUGCAGCCAUGCCGCGUGUAUGAAGAAGGCCGUCGGGUUUUAAAGUACUUUCAGCGGUGAGGCGUUACCCGCAGAAGAAGCACCGGCUAACGCCGUGCCAGCAGCCGCGGUAAUAC
rnacentral:rRNA from 1 species